UUCGGGGGGGAUAACGUAGGGAAACUUACGCUAAUACCGCAUACGACCUUCGGGUGAAAGCAGGGGACCUUCGGGCCUUGCGCGGAUAGAUGAGCCGAUGUCGGAUUAGCUAGUUGGCGGGGUAAAGGCCCACCAAGGCGACGAUCCGUAGCUGGUCUGAGAGGAUGAUCAGCCACACUGGAACUGAGACACGGACCAGACUCCUACGGGAGGCAGCAGUGGGGAAUAUUGGACAAUGGGCGCGAGCCUGAUCCAGCCAUACCGCGUGGGUGAAGAAGGCCUUCGGGUUGUAAAGCCCUUUUGUUGGGAAAGAAAAGCAGUCGGCUAAUACCCGGUUGUUCUGACGGUACCCAAAGAAUAAGCACCGGCUAACUUCGUGCCAGCAGCCGCGGUAAUACGAAGGGUGCAAGCGUUACUCGGAAUUACUGGGCGUAAAGCGUGCGUAGGUGG
rnacentral:rRNA from 1 species